rnacentral:rRNA from 1 species
AUGAACGCUGGCGGCGUGCCUCAUACAUGCAAGUCGAGCGAACAGACGAGGAGCUUGCUCCUCUGACGUUAGCGGCGGACGGGUGAGUAACACGUGGAUAACCUACCUAUAAGACUGGGAUAACUUCGGGAAACCGGAGCUAAUACCGGAUAAUAUAUUGAACCGCAUGGUUCAAUAGUGAAAGACGGUUUUGCUGUCACUUAUAGAUGGAUCCGCGCCGCAUUAGCUAGUUGGUAAGGUAACGGCUUACUAAGGCAACGAUGCGUAGCCGACCUGAGAGGGUGAUCGGCCACACUGGAACUGAGACACGGUCCAGACUCCUACGGGAGGCAGCAGUAGGGAAUCUUCCGCAAUGGGCGAAAGCCUGACGGAGCAACGCCGCGUGAGUGAUGAAGGUCUUCGGAUCGUAAAACUCUGUUAUUAGGGAAGAACAAAUGUGUAAGUAACUAUGCACGUCUUGACGGUACCUAAUCAGAAAGCCACGGCUAACUACGUG